rnacentral:rRNA from 1 species
AUUGAACGCUGGCGGAAUGCUUUACACAUGCAAGUCGAGCGGCAGCGCGGUCUUCGGACUGGCGGCGAGCGGCGAACGGGUGAGUAAUACAUCGGAACAUGCCCAGUCGUGGGGGAUAACACUUCGAAAGAAGUGCUAAUACCGCAUACGUCCUGAGGGAGAAAGCGGGGGAUCGCGAGACCUCGCGCGAUUGGAGUGGCCGAUGUCAGAUUAGCUAGUUGGUGGGGUAAAGGCCUACCAAGGCAACGAUCUGUAGCUGGUCUGAGAGGAUGAUCAGCCACACUGGGACUGAGACACGGCCCAGACUCCUACGGGAGGCAGCAGUGGGGAAUUUUGGACAAUGGGGGCAACCCUGAUCCAGCCAUUCCGCGUGAGUGAAGAAGGCCUUCGGGUUGUAAAGCUCUUUCGGCAGGAACGAAACGGCGAGCUCUAACAUAGCUCGCUAAUGACGGUACCUGAAGAAGAAGCACUGGCUAACUACGUGCCAGCAGCCGCCGUAAGAC